UAAUCUUUAACACGUAAUUUAUUUUAAUGCUUUGAGCGACCACAAGACAUACUCCAAUCCGCUCCGUUCUCCAUUGUGUUGUGUUGUGUUGGUCCAGAGGCAGAAAAAAAAAAAAAAAAAAAGCCCGGAGACAGACAUCGACAUUUGAAACACGUUUUCUGUCAGUUGGGACGACCUCACAGGUUUCACCCCCAAAAAAACGUAAGACGAAAAAGAAGAGCUACAAAAUGAUGGCGGUAGAAAAGAAAACACUUCAAAGCUUUGGGUUUUAAUUAGUGACAGACAAAACGUUCAAGGUAGGUUACGCAACGGCUCACCCUGAGAUGAAGGCUGCUCUGUUUUUCACAUCUACUAUCUCCUUAUCUCGCUGCUCUUAAGUACGACCCUAAUAGGAAAUGGCAGUCACAGCACUGUCACAUGUAGCACGUGGCAGCCCAUCAUGGUUGCUCUCUGCCGUGGGUCGCGCUCGCUGCCGCUGCUUCACGUGACGGACUGCGGGGCUCUGCCCGCAGCGAUGUGAUGGCUGUAAUGGGAGUCCGUCCAUCGCUGCCACCAUUUGGUAACCUCGCGCUGAGGACAGAGAGGUCUCCCACGCUGACGCUGCUGCUGCUGCCGCUGCAGCGUGUGGCUCAGUACAAGUGGGCAGCGUGAGCGGCGUCUUUGUGUACUUAAAGGAUGUCUCCUUCCAUUUGGUGAGAUUUCUUCCUCCCCGUCCUCCAACGAGAGCUGCUUGUUAGAGGCCCAGGUGUGGUAGAAGAGCCGGUGUUCGUCAUACCAGGAUUUUGAGAGGUUGGGAGGGUCUCAUCGGAGCAAUUUAUAAGAAAUGCAGUUUAAAACAUUUAAACAGUAGCAAAAAUUGUGAACGAGUUGUGAAGAACGAAUAGAUUUGACAUUACGUACUCUGUCGCAGGGAUAUCAAGGAGAUAUAACAUUUUAGACGGUGAGAGACGGUGUUGCAUGGAUGAAGAAGUAACGCCGCCCUGAGGAACACGAGGCAGGUUCAGGAGAGGGCAGGAGAGGUGCGAAGCUGGAGAGAAGUGAGAGGGAGGUCAGACAUCAGUCAGAGCCUGAGUGGAGGUUAUUUAGGGUCAGCUUUCAGUCUGCCAAACGCCAAACUCAGCCACCUCAGUACUGCAGGUUGGUCCCUGUUCUCAAGCCAGCCUCGGAGGCCCUGUUUGGUCCCGGUCUGGCCCGAUUACUGCCAGGCCGCUAAGCAUGGUUCUGUUCCCCGUUCCAGUGAUGUUACCCCACCUGCGUUUCCCACAAAGAUUCCUCCAGCUGAAGAUAGAGUGAAGUUUUAGAAAGUUGUGCCAACUUCAUCAAAUGUGCACAUCACUUGACACUGCUGAGUGUCCAGCUCUUUUAUGUAGCAGGACUUCCAAAGUCAGAUUUCCAUCCAAAUGUGUUGCAAACAUUUUCUCAAAUUGUCAGAAUAUUGGUGAAAGAACCUGCAAACAAAUGUGCAGCUCCAUCCACUACUGUUAUGUGAACUUGAGGAAGUCGAGUGCAUCAAGAUAAACAAGAUUUUCCCAUUAGGCGCUAUUAAGCCACCCCAGAGGAAUGUUUGUCUUGUGUUUUAAUUUGAGGAACGUUACAAGUCCCGUCAUGGCUCCACACGGACCUGAUGUUUUCAUCCGCGGUGACUUUUACUGUUCUGCAACUGUUUUUCUAGUUGACAUGAUCAAAUCGACCGCCCUCUAAGGGUUUACCCACAGUCAACAAAGGACAUAAAACGUCAGCAUCUUCUGGGUCCUCAAGAGAACACUGACAGGAAGUAAAUGGCCCAGAUCCUUGUUUCAGCCUACGCAUGUUUUUUUUUUUUUUUUUUUUUUUUUUUUUAAACCCCUGAGGUGGUUCCUCUCAUAGUGGAGACAGCUGCUAUAGGCAACCUCGCGUCUGAUCCCCAUCCUCCUGCACAUCCAUCCAUCACAGAUGUUAGGAGGCAACAUCUGCCUGCCCCUGAGUGGGAACUUCCCUUCUCUAACUCCCUCUGAAAGGAGCUGCUCAAGCCCUUCGGCAAAUGUGUAACAAGUGGAUAAACCUUGGCAGCAGAAAUGAUCUCCUUCAGCUAAGGACAAGUAGAUGAAGCCACACUGGGAGCACUGAUCAACGAGGAUGGAAGAAUAAUUGGAAAACGUUUGCUUGUUUGAUGAGCCGCAAUUCAGGU